UGGGGAAUAUUGCACAAUGGGGGAAACCCUGAUGCAGCGACGCCGCGUGAAGGAAGAAGUAUUUCGGUAUGUAAACUUCUAUCAGCAAGGAAGAAAAUGACGGUACUUGACUAAGAAGCCCCGGCUAACUACGUGCCAGCAGCCGCGGUAAUACGUAGGGGGCAAGCGUUAUCCGGAUUUACUGGGUGUAAAGGGAGCGUAGGUGGCAUGGCAAGUCAGAUGUGAAAGCCCGGGGCUCAACCCCGGGAUUGCAUUUGAAACUGCCAGGCUAGAGUGCAGGAGAGGUAAGUGGAAUUCCUAGUGUAGCGGUGAAAUGCGUAGAUAUUAGGAGGAACACCAGUGGCGAAGGCGGCUUACUGGACUGUAACUGACACUGAGGCUCGAAAGCGUGGGGAGCAAACAGG
rnacentral:rRNA from 2 species